UUCACAUGUAAAUAAAUGUGUGUGCAUUUAACCUUUUUCUCCAGCUCAGUGGCCUUAGCCUCACUGGUUUCCACCUUGGUCUGGUCCACCAUGUUGUCUGUCCAGCCUUCAACAUUGAGGCUAAGGUUACGGCACUUAAAGUCAGGGUCUGCUCCAUUCCUGUGAAGCACGAUCUGGGCGAUACACUCGUCUAUCAACUUGUAGUACUG